UACAGAGGGGGCAAGCGUUAUUCGGAAUUAUUGGGCGUAAAGGGCGCGUAGGCGGCCAUUCAAGUGACGGGUGAAAGCCCUCGGCUUAACCGAGGAACUGCCUGUCAGACUGGAUGGCUUGAGACCGGGAGAGGUGAGUGGAAUUCCCAGUGUAGCGGUGAAAUGCGUAGAUAUUGGGAGGAACACCAGUGGCGAAGGCGGCUCACUGGACCGGAACUGACGCUGAGGCGCG
rnacentral:rRNA from 1 species